AAUCAGCCGGGGGUUAGUCGGGACCUAAGGCGAACCCGAAAGGGGUAGUCGAUGGAUAACUAGUUAAUAUUCUAGUACCACCUUUAUUUUCGAUGGGGUGACGGAGUAGUGAAAGUACCGCGUACUGACGGAAUAGUACGUUGAAGCGUGUAGGUAUAGGAACUGUAGGUAAAUCCGCAGAUCUUGCUGAACGUGAUAGUACCACAAAUCUUCGGAUGCGUGGAUAGUGUACCUAAUCAGACUUCCGAGAAAAACCUCUAAGGCUAGGAUAAAGGUGCCCGUACCGUAAACCGACACAGG
rnacentral:rRNA from 1 species